rnacentral:rRNA from 1 species
GAGUUUGAUCGUGGCUCAGGACGAACGCUGGCGGCGUGCUUAAUACAUGCAAGUCAACGAGAAACAGGGUGCUUGCAUCCUGUGGACAGUGGCGCACGGGUGCGUAACACGUAGGUAAUCUGCCCUUAGGACUGACAUAACUCCGGGAAACCGAAGCUAAUAUCAGAUAAUGCAGCGGCUCGGCAUCGAGACAGUUGUUAAAUCUUCGGAGCCUAAGGAUGAACCUGCGUCCCAUUAGUUAGUUGGCGGGGUAACGGCCCACCAAGACAGUGAUCGGUAGCCGGCCUGAGAGGGCGCACGGCCACACUGGAACUGAAACACGGUCCAGACUCCUACGGGAGGCAGCAGUGGGGAAUUUUGCGCAAUGGGGGAAACCCUGACGCAGCAACGCCGCGUGGAGGAUGAAGUCCCUUGGGACGUAAACUCCUUUCGAUCGGGACGAAUUAUGACGGUACCGGAAGAAGAAGCCCCGGCUAACUCCGUGCCAGCAGCCGCCGUAAU